rnacentral:rRNA from 1 species
UGCGUAGGUGGUGAGGUAAGUCGGAUGUGAAAGCUCGGAGCUCAACUCCGAAAUGGCAUUGGAAACUACCUUGCUCGAGGGUUGGAAGGGGGACUGGAAUGCUUGGUGUAGCAGUGAAAUGCGUAGAUAUCAAGCGGAACACCAGUGGCGAAGGCGAGUCCCUGGACAACUCCUGACACUGAGGCACGAAAGCUAGGGGAGCAAACA